UGGCGUAAAUAAAAUAUCGAAAUUCAUAAGUUACCCCUUAUGAAACACCAAAAGUUCAUUUUAUAACCGUUUCAUACGGCUUCUAUGAAAUUCACAAUCAUCCGUAUUAAUUCCAUACCUAUGCCUUAUGAAUCCCAAUAUUAUUUCUUAUGAAUGAAAAUCAUAAGGCAAUCUUAUGGAGCAACAUGUUCAUGUGUUCAUCCACCGGAAAACAUUAACGUCAUUGUUUUUGUUUUGCAUUCCCGCCGACCAAAAAGAUUGCAAUCGGAACCCUUCGCCGUUAUUUCGAUGGAUUCGCCACAACAGAUAUCCGACAGACAAACUUAUAGUUACAAAACUCAGCCAAAACAACCAGUUCUGGGGCCAUUAGUCGCUUUUACAUUGCCAUCAAAUCGGCUCUCGCGCGGUUGAUUACAUUAAUCAGGAAGCAGCCCUAGCAAAGGAAGGACUGUCCGUGAUGGCAAGAUUAACGUAUAUUCGAUGGACGAGGCACUGGCAUCGGCUGUGGAAAACAUUUUGUAGUCAGCCCGCGACGAUAGAGUUGUACAUCCCGAGGAGCUGCAGAGUGGAGGAGCAGCACGACAUUAUUAGCGGAGGAUCAAGCAGAUUGCGGUUAGGCCCAUCGCAGUUACUAUCAAUUGCAUCAUUUUUGAAGAAAAUGGAACGUUUUUCGAGCACUCAACCGGCGAUGGGUAAACUGACACCAAUGAGGAUGCCGAUGGUAUUGGCAACGGACCACCCAGAUUCAUACGAUUCAUGGCGAGCUGGAUGGUCAAAAACAACGAGGGAACAAAAAUGUGUGUGUGCAUAAGGAAAAUUAUAUGAGAGACUGCAAGCUCAAGUGACGUCGUACGAAUCCAGGAAAAGUUCGCAACAGAUGGGCCACGAAAAGGUUAUCAAAUAAUACUCGGAUUAGCAGGGUCCAUUGGCAUUCGGAAAAAUUCUUGAAACUGCCGGUGAGUUAUUUGCUGUUGAAGAUUGUAAAUUUGUGAAAAAAUGACACAAAUUUCAACCGAUUGGUUCCAUUUUGUGUGAGUCCUGUCCCGCGGCAUUCGGAAGAAUAUAACAAAAUAGGAGUUGUGCCCUGUUCGAGUGCGACCGAAGAUUCGUCCUUUUUCGACUACCAGAUCAACACGGAAAACAUACACGAGCAUCUCCGCAGUCAUUGAAGUACAUGCAAAUACCAUGACCAGGAGGUGAAAAGGAUCCGCUCCGCUGUCCGAAUAAACCAGAGUUCUGGGCUCAUGUGUUGCUGCUGAUUUUGAACGAUGAAAACUACCUGUGGCUGUGGGAGGUAAAUCAGUUAGUUCAACGAAUAUUACAUUCUAAGGAGAUCCGAUUCGCGAUGCAAGUCUAUUUUGCAGUCCACCAGUUAAAACUACGCAAUAUUCUUCCGCUUGGUUCGACAAAUUACUUAGAAGAAUGCAUUCUGUCAUGGUACUUCAAAUUCUAAUCCAUAUACUUGCCUUGGAAACUAUGUUGAGGGUCAACAUGUAGCGGACAUCUACCAACUUUUUAUUGGAGCACCUGACCGGUUUAUUAGCCUUCAAAGACACUGAAGCAGGUGGGUGUUAUUAGAAAUACUACAAUAGGGUUAUAGGAUGGCUAGGUGUUAUCCAUAUCUCGCACAAUGAGCUUGUUUUACAGCCAACAUUGCGCGAUUGGUCCCCACUGACAUGCUGCCUUGUUCUUUGAUUCGAACGCUCUUUUACUCCCUGGGUUCUCGUUCUUAUGAAUUCCAAACAAAACAAGCGGCCAGGAAUUCCAAUUCUUUAGGAAUUUAAAAAAGAAUCUUUAGAGAUUUUAAAAAUAAUCCUUUAGGGUAUCUGAAAAAAAAAUCCUUCGGUGAUUCAGAAGGGAUACAAAGGAAACCUACGAGAAUUUUCAAAGGAUUUCUUCAGCCAUUCCCAAAAGAUUCAUUUAGGCAUUCCCUCGGGCAUUCCCAAGGGAUUCGUUAAGAGAUUCCCAAGGGAAUUUAUUAGCGAAUCUUUUAGAGAUUUUGAUUCCGAAUAACAUCCUUUAGGGAUUCCAAAAAGGAUCUUUUCGGUAAUGGGAAAAUAAUCCUUUAGUGAUCCGGGCAUUCCCAAAGAGUUCUGAUUCCAAAGUAAAUCCCUUAGCAAUUCCGACGUAAAUCUUUUAGGGAUACCGAUGAGAAUUAUUAAGACGGGAAUACUUUAGGCACCUUUAUACAGUAUAUAGGGAUUCCAACGGGAACUCUUUGGAGAUUCAGACGGGAAUACUUAAGGUAUUCCGAUGGAAACCCCCUAAAGCAUUCCGACGGGUAUCUUGAAGCGAUAUUGACGAGAUACUUCUGGAACACUUUAGAUAUUCUAAUGUCAAUUCUUUGGGGAUUCUGACAGGAUUCCCUUAGGGAAUUUAACGGAAAUACUUUAGAGAUUACGGCGGGAAUCUUUCAGGUAUUCCGACGGAAAUCCUUGAGGAAUUUUGACGGGAAUCCUUUAGGAAUUCCGACGGGAAUCAUUCAGGGACUCCGACGGGAAUCCUUUAAGGAUUCUGACGGAAAUGCUUUAGGGAUUCCAACGGAAAUUCCUUUAGGAUUUACGGCGAGGAUAAUUUAGGGAUUCCGAUUUUGACGGGAAUCUUUUGGAAAUUCCGCCGGGAAUCCUUCGGGGAUUCCGACGAGAAUCCUACAGGAAUCCCGACGGGAAUUCUUCAGGGACUUCGACGGGAAUUUUCAGGGAUUCUGAUGGGAUUUUUCAGGGGUUCCAACGGGAAUCCUUCAGGGUUUCUAACGAGAGUAAUGUAAGCAUCACAACGGAAAUCAUCUAGGCAUUCCGACAGGGGUUUUGACGAAAAUUGUUUGGGGAUUUCGACAGGAAUCCUUUAGAAACUUUGACGGGAAUUCUGACGGGAAUCCUUUAAGGAUUCCGACGAGAAUCCUUUAGGGAUUCUUCCGUGAAAGUUCAAGGGCUUCCGAGAAAAGGCAUGCUUUAGGGAUUCCAAAAAGAAUAUUUUAGGGAUUUCUAAAAGAACCCUUUUUUUAUUCGAAAAAUAAUCCUUUAGAGAUUCCGAAAGGAAUCUUUUAAGAAUUCUCAAAGGAACCCAUCAUGAGUUUCGUUUCGGAUUGGAUCUUUAGACAAACAGCUGACCCUUAUAAUCGAAUUGCUCAACAUCGAAAUCGUGCGAGCUACGACUUAAGGUUCGUUGCGUAUUAUUCAGCAUAUGCUGACUUCGAUAUUGGCAUCGAUGUGAUGGACCUUGUUGGAGUCAUCCGACACUAUAUUAAAGAUUCCACCAGAUGUCUUUUUCGGAUAGCAUAUCCGGUGAUUCUAUAAAUAUGUUGUAAUAUUCUUAAAGUUAUUAGAAUUCAAAUUCAAUCUCAACUUUUCAAUCUAAACAAAAUUAUAAUGACAAUAGAAAGAAGAAUAAAGUUCUGAAACCUUAUUUU